rnacentral:rRNA from 1 species
UACGGAGGGUGCGAGCGUUGUCCGGAAUCACUGGGCGUAAAGGGCGCGUAGGCGGCCUGAUAAGUAGGGGGUGAAAUCCUGCGGCUUAACCGCAGGGCUGCCUUCUAAACUGUCAGGCUGGAGCACAGUAGAGGCAGGUGGAAUUCCCGGUGUAGCGGUGGAAUGCGUAGAGAUCGGGAAGAACAUCAGUGGCGAAGGCGGCCUGCUGGGCUGUUGCUGACGCUGAGGCGCGACAGCGGUGGGGAGCAAACGGG